AUGGCCGAGCCACUGCCUGGCACCGAGGAGGCCCCUUGUGAAGCGGAGGUUGUAGAGAUUGCUGCCGAAAUGGUUGCUGUUUCUGAGGAGCCUACAGCAGAGGCUGAAACCUCCAACGCAACCGAGAGCUCUGUGCUGCCAGUGUCUGAUCUGCUGAGCACCAUGAAGAUCAUGGUCGGCUCCACAGUGGAGAUAGCUGCCGCAUCUGUUGGAGACAGGCGGAUGGUUUCAGCUGUUCGGAUGCUGGAGGAGAAGCCUUCACUUGCAGUGGAGCUCCCUGAUGUUGAUGACGUACACAAAAUGCAGGAUGAAGCAGUCCCUUCAGACAAACAGGAUGAGCCCAAGGAACAAGAGUUCCCAGCCACUGUGGAAAUGGCAGCACAGUACUAUAACACAGAGGAAGCAUAUCUUGCAGUCAGGGAAGCAAGCUCAGAAGACGAGUCAGGGAUGGAUGUUGAAGAAGUGAAGCUUGUGGAAACUGCACAUACAGGAGCUGCCUUUGAGGCAGAACAGACAGAAAGUGUGGAGCAUUUUGCCUCUUCCACAGAUAACACUUCUGAGGCAACAGCAGAAGAUCACAAGAUGCACUGCCACUCCUGCCAUGGGGCAGACCCUGCCACUGAAGAUUCCGAACAAGAACCCACACACUUAGAGGUGUCGAUGGUUGAAGAAAUUACAGCCAGAACAGAUACAUUAGAGGCAGAUCACAAGAACCUGACUGUGGCUAAGAUCAAGCACAUGGAGGCCAUGGUUGACACUCCAGCAGAAGCAUUAAGAGGUGGCGUCUCAGUGAUGGCAACAGUACAGCUGUGAGGAGGAUGUGCCUUUCAGAAAAUACCUUCACUGCAGUCAUAAAGGAUUUCCCAUGGAUUUAAAGGAUUUUUCCAACUCUCUCUUCAGUCUUCAUUACAAUAUAAAUCAAAACAUCACAUCUGUUUUACUGUAAAAUUAGGCUCAUGGAUGCCCUUCCGAGCAUAUUCUCAUAAUUUUCAUAUAGUCAUGUGUAAUAUGCUGCUAGUUGCUUAUGUCUAACCCAGCAUACACAGAAGGAUGUUAAAGGGAAAAAUGCACAUAUGCAAAUAACUAUAUAUAGUGCAUGUAUCUAUUUAUCUAUUCAACAGUAAUUUAUUUCAUAGAGGUAUUAAACUAUAUUAUAUAUGUUAGGUGUGAAAUAAUCCUUUCUGCAAUUUCUUAGUCAUGAAGUGUUUGCUUGUGUGUUUAAAGCUCCUUAAAAUGCUCUUAACCUUAAUAUAUAUACAUAUACACACUCAUUAAUUACUUUAAUGUGUUUUGAGUUGGCUUAAAUGUGUAGUUCCUCUGAUGGUUCAUAUUUUGUUUAAAUAAAGGCGUGGAAUUGGU
rnacentral:lncRNA from 1 species